AACGCGAAGAACCUUACCUGGGCUUGACAUAUGCCGGAUCGGCGCAGAGAUGCGUUUUCCCUUGUGGUCGGUAUACAGGUGGUGCAUGGUUGUCGUCAGCUCGUGUCGUGAGAUGUUGGGUUAAGUCCCGCAACGAGCGCAACCCUUGUCUUGUGUUGCCAGCACGUUAUGGUGGGGACUCGCGAGAGACUGCCGGGGUUAACUCGGAGGAAGGUGGGGAUGACGUCAAAUCAUCAUGCCCCUUAUGUCCAGGGCUUCACACAUGCUACAAUGGUCGGUACAGUGGGUUGCGAUGCCGUGAGGUGGAGCUAAUCCCUUAAAGCCGGUCUCAGUUCGGAUUGGAGUCUGCAACUCGACUCCAUGAAGUCGGAGUCGCUAGUAAUCGCAGAUCAGCAACGCUGCGGUGAAUACGUUCCCGGGUCUUGUACACACCG
rnacentral:rRNA from 1 species